rnacentral:rRNA from 1 species
UACGUAGGGGGGCUAGCGUUGUCCGGAAUCAUUGGGCGUAAAGCGCGCGUAGGCGGCCCAGUAAGUCCGUUGUAAAAAGUCAAAGGCUCAACCUUUGAAAGCCGAUGGAUACUGCUGGGCUAGAGUCCGGAAGAGGCGAGUGGAAUCCUGGUGUAGCGGUGGAAUGCGCAGAUAUCAGGAGGAACACCGAUAGCGAAGGCAGCUCGCUGGGACGGUACUGACGCUGAGGAGCGAAAGCAUGGGGAGCGAACAGG